AUGGGUGGAGUACAGUGUGUGGAUUUGUCAGCAUCUGCGUGGAGUCUGGAGCUGCAAACUUCAACCUCUGUAGAGAGCCAGAGGCCUGGGGGCCUGGUGGUUGUUAAAGUACUCAGUGAAGCAGGCAGUUUAAUAUGCAAUGAGGAGUUUCACCUACAUCUAGAGGAACAGUUGCGGUUAAUGACUUCUGGAAUGGACACCUGGCCUCGCACCUGGGAUGUGCUUCGGCAACAUGGCCACCUCAGGUUUGUGUUUACUGUGUUGCCGAGUGAAUCCACCUGGAGAUUUCAUCUCUGUUGCUGGGUUAAUUUGCGGAUGUCAUGAAGAGCCCCAUUCCCAAGUGUGAAGGCCCACAUUUGCGCUUCCUCAGAACAACGCAGUGGCAGGCCUUGAGCUGAGCAUAGACUUGCUUUCACUCACUCACCUAUGUCCUUUUCAGUGUGAGGGUUUCCACUCACAGGCUGUGGGAAGGUGUGGCCAGAGAGAGGGCCUGAUGACCAAGAGGCUGGUACUCCCGUCCCAGCAGUAGGAGGGGCGAAGAGGGGCACAAGGCCCAGCAUGCUCGGGCCUCUGCUGCUGGUGGCAGAUCCUGUGAGGUAACCUCCUCAGGACCCUUCAGCCUCAGGCUGUGGGAGACCUGCGGUCACCUGGGUCUGGGUAGGGGAGGGGAUUUUGGGCUCUCUGAGGUGAGGCCUGAGGGGAGGCAGGGCUGUCAAACAUUUUCUCUUUAAGACUCUUAAGUCACAAAAGAGAUCGACUUGGAGGAAGUUCUUCGCAGCCUGGCCAGAGACCUCUGGUUAAUCAGAUAUUCUUAACAAGAGUAGUCACAUGAGCUCACCCAGCUGAACUCUCCUUCAGAGAUUGCAACAAAGCAUAGGUAAAAUUCAAACUACACUAAAUAUAAUUAAAUCUUCCUUUGAUGAUUCAUAAGAUCUUCAGGAUCCUGAGGUGCCUCAGGGUCAU
rnacentral:lncRNA from 1 species